AUGGGCAUGGCUGAGAAGGGGUCGGCAGCAAGGAAGGCCGGGCUGAUCACCAAGACGCUGGACCGGUGCCGGAGCACGACGGCGAGGAACAACAAGCCGGCAGAGGGCUGCUUCUCGGUGUACGUCGGUGCGGGCAGGCAGCGGUUCGUGGUGCGGAUGGAGUGCUUAAACCACCCGCUGUUCCGGGCACUGCUUGAGGAGGCCGAGGAGGCGUUUGGGUAUGCCGACUCGGGACCCCUUGAGCUGCCCUGCAACACCGAGGCAUUUACCAAGGUGCUGGAGAAGAUCGAGGAGGAGAAGCAGAUGUCGGCUGGGAGGAGGCAUGGCCUCGCCAGGGGGAACUCCUACCGGCUGCUCAGCACCGGCCGGCCUGUCAUCAUUGGCCGGUCGUAG
rnacentral:rRNA from 1 species